ACCCCGAGUGCCAGUACUAAGUGCUGGCUGUCUAGAUGAAUAGAUAUCAUUUAAUAGCAAGGGCCGGGCAAGACCGGUGCCAGCCGCCGCGGUAACACCGGCGGCCCGAGUGGUAACCGAUAUUAUUGGGUCUAAAGGGUCCGUAGCCUGUUUAAUAAGUCCUUUGGGAAAUCUGGCAGCUUAACUGUCAGGCUGCUAAAGGAUACUGUUAAACUUGGGACCGGUAGACGUAGGGGGUACUCCAGGGGUAGGAGUGAAAUCUUGUAAUCCCUGGGGGACCAUCUGUGGCGAAGGCGCCCUACGAGAACGGGUCCGACGGUGAGGGACGAAAGCUAGGGGAGCAAACCGGAUUAGAUACCCGGGUAGUCCUAGCUGUAAACGAUGCUCGCUAGGUGUCAGGCACGGUGCGUCCGUGUCUGGUGCCGCAGGGAAGCCGUUAAGCGAGCCACCUGGGGAGUACGGUCGCAAGGCUGAAACUUAAAGGAAUUGGCGGGGGAGCACUACAACGGGUGGAGCCUGCGGUUUAAUUGGAUUCAACGCC
rnacentral:rRNA from 1 species